GGUUAAAACGCUCGUAGUUGGGUAUUUGUUGAGAACUUCCGGUCUACCCUAGUGGUCAGCACACGGUCUGUUCUCGGCACUUUCCUGGGGAGAGUGUUUGCACUUCACUGUGUGGCACAUGAUCCAGAACUUUUACUUUGAGGAAAUGAGAGUGUUUCAAGCAGGCGCCUGUCAUGAAUACGUUAGCAUGGAAUAAUAGCAUGGGACCGCGGUCUGAAGCUGUUGGUUUUUGGGCCGUGGUAAUAAAAAUAUGGAUAGUUGGGGGUAUUCGUAUUUAACUGUCAGAGGUGAAAUUCUUGGAUUUUUUAAAGACGGACUACUGCGAAAGCAUCUGCCCAGGAUGUUUUUAUUGAUCAAAAACGAAAGUUAGGGGAUCGAAGACGAUCAGAUACCGUCCUAGUCUUAACCUUAAACCAUGCCGACUAGAGAUUUGGGUCGUCAGAAUCGUGACGCCCUGAGCACCUUAGGGGAAACCAAAGUCUUCGGGUUCCGGGGGGAGUAUGGUCGCAAGGCUGAAACUUAGAGGAAUUGACGGAAGGGCACCACCAGGAGUGGAGCCUGCGGCUUAAUUUGACUCAACACGGGAAAACUUACCAGGUCCGGACAUAGAGAGGAUUGACAGACUGAUAGCUCUUUCUUGAUUCUAUGGGUGGUGGUGC
rnacentral:rRNA from 1 species